rnacentral:misc_RNA from 1 species
ACACCUCAACUCUCAUGGUUUGCCAUGAUGAGCUUGGACUCUGGGGGUCUUGCUGGCUUAUGGUCGGCUCCUCUCAAACGAAUCAGCUCGCCAGUGUUUGGUGGGAUCACGGGUGUGAUAACUAUCUACGCUUGUGUGUUUCCGUCAAGUAACCUUCAGCGAUGGAGGUUCGCUGGGGCUCAUAAAUGUCUCUCCUCAGCGAGGACAACCCUUUGAAU